CCCCUAGAUGUUCUGGGCCGCACGCGCGCUACACUGAACAGUUCAACAAGUCUUAACCUUGGCCGAUAGGUCUGGGUAAUCUUUGAACGCUGUUCGUGAUUGGGAUAGACCUUUGCAAUUAUGGGUCUUCAACGAGGAAUUCCUAGUAAACGCAAGUCAUCAGCUUGCAUUGAUUACGUCCCUGCCCUUUGUACACACCGCCCGUCGCACCUACCGAUUGAAUGGUCCGGUGAAAUCUCGGGACGGCGGCCUGGUCGCUUGCGUCCGACUGCUGAAACUUGAUUAAACCAUAUCAUUUAGAGGAAGGAGAAGUCGUAACA
rnacentral:rRNA from 1 species